rnacentral:tRNA from 1 species
GUCAUCUGUAGCUUAAUUUUUUAAAAGCGCGGCACUGAAGAUGCUGAGACGAAAGAACCAAACCUUUCCAUAGACA